rnacentral:rRNA from 1 species
GACGAACGCUGGCGGCGUGCCUAAUACAUGCAAGUCGAACGCAGUGGGGACGGGUGAGUAACACGUGGGUAACCUCCCCAUCAGCGGGGAUAACACUUGGAAACAGGUGCUAAACCGAUACUGGUGGAUGGACCCGCGGUGCAUUAGCUAGUUGGUGAGGUACAGGCUGACCAAGGCCACGAUGCAUAGCCUACCUGAGAGGGUGAUCGGCCACACUGGGACGGAGACACGGCCCAUACUCCUACGGUAGGCAGCAGUAGGGAAUCUUCGGCAAUGGACGAAAGUCUGACCGAGCAACGCCGCGUGAGUGAAGAAGGUUUUCGGAUCGUAAAACUCUUUUGUUAGAGAAGCGGUAUCUAACCAGAAAGCCACGGCUAACUACGUGCCAGCAGCCGCGGUAAUUC